UAUGACUGAGCCAACUUGGCCUAUGCUGACUUCGUUCGUGCGCUGAGGGACUCGUGUCGUCAUCAGUCCUUUAGGACGAACGUCGCUUUGUAUGUUUUUUGGAAGGUUGUAGAGAUCUGGUUCUACGAGUACUUUCCUUCCGUUGCGCCGGCGAGACCAUUGCCGCGGGGAUUUCCAGUGAGUGCCUCUUGGGGCGGCCACCAUGUGGACAUGUCUACUGCACGUGUCCGGAGUUGGAUCAUCUCGGGACCUGAGGUGGUAUACCGACCGUGGGGCGGUUGGACA